GCAUUGCAACACUGGUUCCCGUACGAACACCAAAGUUAAGCAACGUCACGCCUGGUCAAUACCUAGAUGGGUGACCGCUCGGGAACACCAGGUGCU